rnacentral:rRNA from 1 species
UACGGGGGGGAGCAAGCGUUGUUCGGAUUUACUGGGCGUAAAGGGCGCGUAGGCGGCCAGCACAAGUCAGUUGUGAAAUCUCCGGGCUUAACUCGGAAAGGUCAACUGAUACUGUGCGGCUAGAGUGCAGAAGGGGCAACUGGAAUUCUCGGUGUAGCGGUGAAAUGCGUAGAUAUCGAGAGGAACACCUGCGGCGAAGGCGGGUUGCUGGGCUGACACUGACGCUGAUGCGCGAAAGCGUGGGGAGCAAACAGG